rnacentral:rRNA from 1 species
AGGGUUCGAUCCUGGCUCAGGACGAACGCUGGCGGUGCGCCUUAUGCAUGCAAGUCGAGCGAAGCUUUUCAGUAGUUUACUACAGAAAAUGACUGAGCGGCGAACGGGUGAGUAACGCGUGAGCAAUCUACCUUAGUUACAGGGAUAGCCCGAGGAAACUCGGAUUAAUACCUGAUAUUCUUUACAUUUCGCAUGAAAUCAAAAGGAAAGGUCAGCCGAACUAAGAUGAGCUCGCGUUCUAUCAGCUAGUUGGUGAGGUAAAAGCUCACCAAGGCAACGACGGAUAGCUGGUCUGAGAGGACGAUCAGCCACACUGGGACUGAGACACGGCCCAGACUCCUACGGGAGGCUGCAGCAGGGAAUAUUGCGCAAUGAGCGAAAGCUUGACGCAGCGACACCGCGUGUGGGAUGACGGAUCUAGGUUUGUAAACCACUUUCAGGAGGGAAGAAAAUGACGGUACCUCCACAAGAAGCCCCGGCCAACUACGUGCCAGCAGCCGCGGUAAUUC